rfam:Myotis brandtii contig254855, whole genome shotgun sequence.
GGCAGUUCUCAGGUGAUGUACCCUGGAAUUAGGCUCCCUACUCUCUGGUUCCAGGUGCAUCACCCGAGAACCACA